UGAGGAAUAUUGGUCAAUGGAGGAAACUCUGAACCAGCCAUGCCGCGUGGAGGAUGAAGGUCCUCUGGAUUGUAAACUCCUUUUAUAAAAGAAGAAACCCCAGUAUUCUUACUGGGUUGACGGUACUUUAUGAAUAAGCACCGGCUAACUCCGUGCCAGCAGCCGCGGUAAUACGGAGGGUGCAAGCGUUAUCCGGAUUCACUGGGUUUAAAGGGAGCGUAGGUGGGUUGGUAAGUCAGUGGUGAAAUCUCCGAGCUUAACUUGGAAACUGCCAUUGAUACUAUCAAUCUUGAAUACUGUGGAGGUAAGCGGAAUAUAUCAUGUAGCGGUGAAAUGCUUAGAUAUGAUAUAGAACACCAAUAGCGAAGGCAGCUUACUACGCAGUUAUUGACACUGAGGCUCGAAAGCGUGGGGAUCAAACAG
rnacentral:rRNA from 1 species